rnacentral:rRNA from 1 species
GCAAAACGCGAAGAACCUUACCUACUCUUGACAUCUACGGAAGACUGCAGAGAUGCGGUUGUGCCUUCGGGAACCGUAACACAGGUGCUGCAUGGCUGUCGUCAGCUCGUGUCGUGAGAUGUUGGGUUAAGUCCCGCAACGAGCGCAACCCUUGCCAUUAGUUGCUACAUUUAGUUGAGCACUCUAAUGGGACUGCCGGUGACAAACCGGAGGAAGGUGGGGAUGACGUCAAGUCCUCAUGGCCCUUAUAGGUGGGGCUACACACGUCAUACAAUGGCUGGUACAAAGGGUUGCCAACCCGCGAGGGGGAGCUAAUCCCAUAAAGCCAGUCGUAGUCCGGAUCGCAGUCUGCAACUCGACUGCGUGAAGUCGGAAUCGCUAGUAAUCGUGGAUCAGAAUGUCACGGUGAAUACGUUCCCGGGUCUUGUACACACCG